rnacentral:lncRNA from 1 species
CAACAUUUAAUCAACUGCACAUGGCCUCAAACCUGGAAUAUGAGGAACGGAUGCUAAGAUUCAUUUCAAUCGGACUACCAUUGUGAUGGUGUAUCUAUUCUUCUUGAAAUUCAUUGUACUUGUCUAAUUGCUAGGAGGUAGAAAAUAACACAAGGGCGUGGUUGUGUUGCUUUUAGUUUAGAAAAAGAAAGAAAAAACU